rnacentral:rRNA from 1 species
AUUGAACGCUGGCGACAUGCCUUACACAUGCAAGUCGAACGGCAGCACGGGUGCUUGCACCUGGUGGCGAGUGGCGAACGGGUGAGUAAUACAUCGGAACAUGUCCUGUAGUGGGGGAUAGCCCGGCGAAAGCCGGAUUAAUACCGCAUACGAUCUACGGAUGAAAGCGGGGGACCUUCGGGCCUCGCGCUAUAGGGUUGGCCGAUGGCUGAUUAGCUAGUUGGUGGGGGAAAGGCCUACCAAGGCGACGAUCAGUAGCUGGUCUGAGAGGACGACCAGCCACACUGGGACUGAGACACGGCCCAGACUCCUACGGGAGGCAGCAGUGGGGAAUUUUGGACAAUGGGCGAAAGCCUGAUCCAGCAAUGCCGCGUGUGUGAAGAAGGCCUUCGGGUUGUAAAGCACUUUUGUCCGGAAAGAAAUCCUUGGCCCUAAUACGGUCGGGGGAUGACGGUACCGGAAGAAUAAGCACCGGCUAACUACGUG